rnacentral:rRNA from 1 species
CGCGUAGGCGGGAUGGCAAGUCGGUCGUGAAAUCCCUCGGCUCAACUGAGGGGGGUCGGCCGAUACUGCCGUUCUUGAGGGAUGCAGAGGAGACUGGAAUUCCCGGUGUAGCGGUGAAAUGUGUAGAGAUCGGGAGGAACACCGGUGGCGAAGGCGGGUCUCUGGGCAUUUCCUGACGCUGAGGCGCGAAAGCGUGGGGAGCAAACGG